UUUUAUAAUACAAAAAUCGCAUACUAAUACAAAAAUAGCUUUUAUAAUGCUCAAAGUUCUUUCAAAUAUUUCUUUAGAGCCCAAUUCUGUUAGUGAACUGUUACAAAUAGUUAUUAUCUCAUCUCUGUAAAAUUACUAUUUUGCAUUUUCAAAUAUACUCUUCUAACAUCACUAAUUUUUCUUAUUUGCUUUCAAGUUAGAGGCAAAAUAAGUAUUUUGACUUUUGGCCCUUCUAAUUAUACUCUUCUACCAUCACCAAUUUUUUUUUAUUUACGCUCAAGUUAAAGACAAAAGAAGUAUUUUAACUUCUUUUUAGCUCUGAUAGAAACUUAAUUAAUCCGGAUUUAACCCAAAAUAACUUAACGGGUACUAACAGCAGGGUUAUUUUUAGAUAGCGGAGAAAUAUAUUAGUGGUAUAUUUGAAACAAAAAAUAUAUAAGAUAUUUCAGAAAUUUUGGAAAGUAUAUAAGAUAUUAUCUCUAUUAAAAAUGAAGGCUUUUUAAAAU
rnacentral:lncRNA from 1 species